UACGGAUGGGGCAAGCGUUGUUCGGAAUCAUUGGGCGUAAAGGGCGUGUAGGUGGUUCUGUAUGUCUACCGUGAAAGCGUACGGCUCAACCGUAUUUAGUCGGUAGAAACUGCAGGACUUGAGGCUGGGAGGGGCUGGUGGAAUUCCCCGUGUAGCGGUGAAAUGCGUAGAGAUGGGGGAGAACACUCGUGGCGAAGGCGGCCAGCUAGACCAGCUCUGACACUGAGGCGCGACAGCGUGGGGAGCAAACAGG
rnacentral:rRNA from 1 species